rnacentral:rRNA from 1 species
GAUCAUGGCUCAGAUUGAACGCUGGCGGCAUGCCUUACACAUGCAAGUCGAACGGCAGCACGGGAGCUUGCUCCUGGUGGCGAGUGGCGAACGGGUGAGUAAUACAUCGGAACGUACCCUGAAGUGGGGGGAUAACGUAGCGAAAGUUACGCUAAUACCGCAUAUUCUGUGAGCAGGAAAGAGGGGGAUCGCAAGACCUCUUGCUUUAGGAGCGGCCGAUGUCGGAUUAGCUAGUUGGUGAGGUAAAGGCUCACCAAGGCGACGAUCCGUAGCGGGUCUGAGAGGAUGAUCCGCCACACUGGGACUGAGACACGGCCCAGACUCCUACGGGAGGCAGCAGUGGGGAAUUUUGGACAAUGGGCGGAAGCCUGAUCCAGCCAUGCCGCGUGAGUGAAGAAGGCCUUCGGGUUGUAAAGCUCUUUCGGCCGGGAAGAAAUCGCAUGGGUUAAUACCCUGUGUGGAUGACGGUACCGGCAUAAGAAGCACCGGCUAACUACGUG